UACGUAGGGGGCGAGCGUUGUCCGGAAUUACUGGGCGUAAAGGGUGCGUAGGUGGUCUACUAAGUUGGAUGUGAAAUCCCCGGGCUUAACUUGGGGUGUGCAUCCAAUACUGGCGGACUAGAGUGCAGGAGAGGGAAGCGGAAUUCCUAGUGUAGCGGUGAAAUGCGUAGAUAUUAGGAGGAACACCAGUGGCGAAGGCGGCUUUCUGGACUGUAACUGACACUGAGGCACGAAAGCGUGGGGAGCAAAC
rnacentral:rRNA from 1 species